AUAAAAUGAUGAACAUAUCAGUUCUGCUUCUGAUAAAUUUGAAGAAAACUUUUACCCACAAAACUGAAGU